AUAUCUAGCCUCCCCAGAGAGUUUUCUACCAAAUCAGCCUCUACUACCCAUGCAUAUUGUGUGAGAGAGUGAUUUUGUGUUGAGUAGACUAUCUUUAGAAGCAUAAGAGAAAGGAGUUCAUUGAGCUACCAAAUAUAUUACCUUUUACAGGGUGGUGCCUCCUAGAUUGGUUAGGUGUCGCUUGGGAGCCUCCUACUUUGUGAUGUGGAGGUGAACCAAGAUGUUUGUAAGGGCAAGUAGAUCGCCUACAUCGUGAAGAUUUACCGUGAGUAAGGCUAGUCCUCCGUGGACGGAAGCCGUGGUGGAAUAGACAACGCCGCUUCUUUGUGGACCCUCCGCGGUUAGAGCCCUCCGUGGACUCUCGUAGUCGUUAUCCUCCGUGGGUUGAAGUCUCCACUAACAUGGACGUACGAUAGCGCCACCUAUCGGAACAAUGCCAAAAAUCACCAUGUCAACCUCAUGCGUUUGAUCUCCCUACCUUACUCCUCUACAUUACACUUGCAUGUUUUAUAUUCCGCUGCUAUACUCUUAGAACUGCAUGUGUAGGGUGUACCUGAC
rnacentral:lncRNA from 1 species